rnacentral:rRNA from 1 species
UACGAAGGGGGGCUAGCGUUGUUCGGAUUUACUGGGCGUAAAGCGCACGUAGGCGGAUCGAUCAGUCAGGGGUGAAAUCCCAGGGCUCAACUCUGGAACUGCCUUUGAUACUGUCGAUCUGGAGUAUGGAAGAGGUGAGUGGAAUUCCGAGUGUAGAGGUGAAAUUCGUAGAUAUUCGGAAGAACACCAGUGGCGAAAGGCGGCUCACUGGCCCGGUACUGACGCUGAGGUGCGAAAGCGUGGGGAGCAAACAGG